rnacentral:rRNA from 1 species
AGAGUUUGAUCCUGGCUCAGGAUGAACGCUAGCGGCAGGCUUAACACAUGCAAGUCGAGGGGCAGCGAGGGUAGCAAUACCUGUCGGCGACCGGCGCAAGGGGGGUGCGUAACGCGUGAGCAACAUGCCCGUAUCAGGGGGAUAAUCCAGGGAAACUUGGUCUAAUACCCCAUAGUAAUAUUUUCAGGCAUCUGGGGAUAUUUAAAGCUUUGGUGGAUACGGAUUGGCUCGCGUGACAUUAGCUGGAUGGUAGGGUAACGGCCUACCAUGGCUACGAUGUCUAGGGGUUCUGAGAGGAAGAUCCCCCACACUGGAACUGAGACACGGUCCAGACUCCUACGGGAGGCAGCAGUGAGGAAUAUUGGACAAUGGAUGGAAAUCUGAUCCAGCCAUGCCGCGUGCAGGAAGAAUGUCCUAUGGAUUGUAAACUUCUUUUGUACCUGAAGAAUAGGCCCAACGAGUUGGGAUUUGCCGGUAAGGUAUGAAUAAGCAUCGGCUAACUCCGUGCCAGCAGCCGCGGUAAUACGGAGGAUGCAAGCGUUAUCCGGAUUCAUUGGGUUUAAAGGGUGCGCAGGUGGGAAAAUAAGUCAGUGGUGAAAUACUGCCGCUUAACGGUAGAAUUGCCAUUGAUACUGUUUUUCUUGAGUAUGGUUGAGGUAGGUGGAAUGUGUUGUGUAGCGGUGAAAUGCAUAGAUAUGACACAGAACGCCGAUUGCGAAGGCGGCUUACUGGGCUAUUACUGACGCUGAGGCACGAAAGCGUGGGGAUCAAACAGGAUUAGAUACCCUGGUAGUCCACGCCGUAAACGAUGAGUACUAAGUGUAGGGGAAACUCUGUGUUGUAGCUACCGCAAUCCGUCUUCCGCCUGGGGAGUAUGCACGCAAGUGUGAAACUCAAAGGAAUUGACGGGACCCCGCACAAGCGGUGGAUCAUGUUGUUUAAUUCGAUGAUACGCGAAGAACCUUACCAGGUCUUGACAUCCCAUGCAAAGCUAUAGAGAUAUAGUGGAGGUUAUCAUGGAGACAGGUGGUGCAUGGUUGUCGUCAGCUCGUGUCGUGAGAUGUUGGGUUAAGUCCCGCAACGAGCGCAACCCUUAUUUUCAGUUACUAACGCUCAGUUGGGGACUCUAGCGAGACUGCCGGUGAUAAACCGGAGGAAGGUGGGGAUGACGUCAAAUCAUCAUGCCCCUUAUGUCCUGGGCUACACACGUGCUACAAUGGCUACUACAAAGAGGAGCAAGCCCGCAAGGGGGAGCGGAUCUGAGAAAAGUAGUCCCAGUUCGGAUCGUGGGCUGCAACCCGCCCACGUGAAGUCGGAGUUGCUAGUAAUCGCGGAUCAGCAUGCCGCGGUGAAUACGUUCCCGGGCCUUGUACACACCGCCCGUCACACCAUGGGAGUUGGGAGCACCCAAAGCCAGCGAGGUAACCGCAAGGAGCCAGCUGUCCAAGGUGAGACCAAUGACUGGGGUGAAGUCGUAACAAGGUAACC